rnacentral:rRNA from 1 species
GACGAACGCUGGCGGCGUGCCUAACACAUGCAAGUCGAGCGGAGUCGAUCGACGGAAGCCUUCGGGCGGAAGAUGGUUGACUUAGCGGCGGAUGGGUGAGUAACGCGUGGGCAACCUGCCUCGAAGACCGGGAUAACAGCCCGAAAGGGCUGCUAAUACCGGAUGUGGUCAAGGAUCCGCAUGGAUUUUUGAUUAAAGGGGAAACCCGUUUCGAGAUGGGCCCGCGUCCUAUCAGCUAGUUGGUGAGGUAAAAGCUCACCAAGGCGACGACGGGUAGCCGGCCUGAGAGGGUGACCGGCCACACUGGAACUGAGACACGGUCCAGACUCCUACGGGGGGCAGCAGUGGGGAAUCUUCCACAAUGGGCGAAAGCCUGAUGGAGCGACGCCGCGUGAGCGAAGAAGGCCUCGGUGUAAGCUCUGUCUGAGGACGAAGGAAGUGACGGUACCUCCGGAGGAAGCCACGGCUAACUACGUG